AUUGAACGCUGCGGCAGGCUUAACACAUGCAAGUCGAGCGAGCGGCGGACGGGUGAGUAAUGCUUAGGAAUCUGCCUAUUAGUGGGGGACAACAUCUAGAAAGGGAUGCUAAUACCGCAUACAAAUAGAUGAGCAUAAGUCGGAUGAGCUAGUUGGUGGGGUAAAGGCCUACAAAGGCGACGAUCGGUAGCGGGUCUGAGAGGAGGAUCCGCCACACGGGUACUGAGACACGGCCCAGACUCCUACGGUAGGCAGCAGUGGGGAAUAUUGCACAAUGGGCGCAAGCCUGAUGCAGCCAUGCCGCGUGUGUGAAGAAGGCCUUCGGGUUGUAAAGCACUUUCAGCGGGGAGGCGUUACCCGCAGAAGAAGCACCGGCUAACUCCGUGCCAGCAGCCGCGGUAAUUC
rnacentral:rRNA from 1 species